UACGAAGGGGGCUAGCGUUGUUCGGAUUUACUGGGCGUAAAGCGCACGUAGGCGGAUCGUUAAGUCGGGGGUGAAAUCCUGGAGCUCAACUCCAGAACUGCCUUCGAUACUGGCGAUCUCGAGUCCGGAAGAGGUGAGUGGAACUCCUAGUGUAGAGAUGGAAUUCGUAGAUAUUAGGAAGAACACCAGUGGCGAAGGCGGCUCACUGGUCCGGUACUGACGCUGAGGUGCGAAAGCGUGGGGAGCAAACAGG
rnacentral:rRNA from 1 species